rnacentral:lncRNA from 13 species
CACCUUUCUAAACAGUAUUGGAAUCUUGCUGCUUGUCCUGCACUCUGCCCCCUCCAUCUUCAACCUGAUAUCGUGGGACUUCCCCUGCCCUGUCCCAGAAUGACUGAGACCCAUGGGCUGGGGUGGACCAGGCUUCCAUUCCACAUCAGGCUCUCCUCAUCAACCACAGCCAUGGCCAGUGUUUUCUCCUGAUGACCUAAGAACAAACUCAUCUUUCAACCAAAGAAUCAGGUUUCUCCUGGAGACAUCAUAUUUUAGUUUACAAGAGAAGUGUGUGAGUUCUUCUGGGUCAUAUGACUGAUUAUUUCACCUUGUGAAAUAAUGGCCUGCUCUUAUUACAUCAGAGCAGCAUCUGCUGACUCCAUGGUCCUAUUUUCACACCAAGGGGCCAGCACUUAACUGAAAGUGCCUCUGAGUCACCCAGGAUGGCCCUGGCUCCCAAUUUCUCCAUUGGUAGAAAAAGGGGGCAGUGCAUCCCAUCAAUGGGUCACUCACAGUAUAAGGAGCAGGACCAGGAAGAGCCAGCAACAGGGAUGUUAAGACCUCUCGACCUCACUGCUUCAGGGAUGGAGGCCAAGCUUCAUUUCUGCCCCCAUCAGCAUCCACUGGGGCUGGACCUUGUUGGACUGCCCCUGUCACCAGGAGAAGCUCGGCACUGUAUUUGGCAUACAAACCAAACUCCUGCCCUCAUGAAGACUAAGGCUGCAUAAGAAUAUGCACUCACCCCAUGUCUUCGGGUGAGCACAGCCAGAUGCCCCCUCACGGCCACAGGUGGCUAUAGCAGCAGCUCUUGAGAAGAUACCCUUCCAGUUCAAAUCCACCACAAGAGUGAGUCCCAACGAAAGCCCUUAAGACACUGAUUAAACAUAUAAGGGUCAAGUUCCCGCUCCUGAAGCAAGGACUGUGGCCAGGAAAAUGGGAUGUGGUAACUGGCUUGGGCCCUGGUCUCAUGAUCCAUUCAGACCCUUGAAAUGACACUGGAGGAAGGAUGUGGCCAAGGAAGGGAGUAUGGCUGUGGGGGAGCAACAGCAAAUGUCUUCUCCAUUCCCCCUGCCCAGGGUCUCCUUGCCUGAGGCUCACUCUCCUCUCCAAGGUGCAAACAAGCCCCUCUGAGAAGCUGAGCAGGCUGCAUUGUGCUCUUCUCUAUUCUCUGGUUUCCUCCCAAAAAAAAUAAUAAUAAAAAUAUAUACAAAUGCA